rnacentral:rRNA from 1 species
GAUGAACGCUAGCGGCAGGCUUAAUACAUGCAAGUCGAGGGGCAGCAGCUCUGUAGCAAUACAGAGGCUGGCGACCGGCAAACGGGUGCGGAACACGUACACAACCUUCCUUUAAGCGGGGAAUAGCCCGGGGAAACCCGGAUUAAUACCCCAUAGUAUAUUGAAGAGGCAUCUCUUUACUAUCAAAGAUUUAUCACUUGAAGAUGGGUGUGCGGCUGAUUAGCUAGUUGGCGGGGUAACGGCCCACCAAGGCAACGAUCAGUAACUGGUGUGAGAGCACGACCAGUCACACGGGCACUGAGACACGGGCCCGACUCCUACGGGAGGCAGCAGUAAGGAAUAUUGGUCAAUGGACGAAAGUCUGAACCAGCCAUGCCGCGUGGAGGAUGAAGGUCCUCUGGAUUGUAAACUUCUUUUAUAUGGGACGAAAAAAGGCUUUUCUAAGUCGUCUGACGGUACCAUAUGAAUAAGCACCGGCUAACUCCGUGCCAGCCGCCGCUGUAAUAC